rnacentral:rRNA from 1 species
UACGUAGGUGGCAAGCGUUGUCCGGAAUUAUUGGGCGUAAAGAGCUCGUAGGCGGUCUGUCACGUCGGACGUGAAAAUCAGGGCUCAACCCUGGACCUGCGUUCGAUACGGGCAGACUAGAGUUCGGUAGGGGAGACUGGAAUUCCCGGUGUAGCGGUGAAAUGCGCAGAUAUCAGGAGGAACACCGGUGGCGAAGGCGGGUCUCUGGGCCGAUACUGACGCUGAGGAGCGAAAGCGUGGGGAGCGAACAGG